UGUCCAAACUUUCACACACGUGGCACCCUAAAUCUCUACGUUUGCGACACCAUUUUUCUUGUUUUGUCUUUUAACCCCUGCUUCUUCGUGAUAGCUAAAGUUAUCAGUAGCUAAGCUUAGCUGCGAUUUAGGAUAUUAAACACCACGACCACCAUCACCAACGAUAGCAACAUGGGUUCAGAGACCUUCCUUGAAGUGAUAUUGGCGAUUAUCCUUCCACCCGUCGGGGUCUUCCUGCGUUAUGGCUGUGGAGUGGAGUUUUGGAUAUGUUUGCUGUUGACCAUAUUGGGAUAUAUUCCAGGGAUUAUAUAUGCCCUUUAUGUAUUAGUUGGAUAGUGUAUGAAUCUCUCUUGGUGAGGUUUGCUGUUUUUACGUUUCAAGGACAAUCCUGUUUGCUCCUCUUGUUUUAUUGCCUUGUUUUAUUGAGAUCGACUGUUUUCACUUCUUGUCAGAUAAUCGUUGUUUGUUUCCGUAUGGUUUAGAUCAUGGUAGACCUCUUUGUUCUUAAGUUCUUGACAGUUUGAACAUUAAUACAUGUCGUGUCAGCUUUCUUGAUCUUA